rnacentral:rRNA from 1 species
GGCUCAGGACGAACGCUGGCGGCGUGCUUAACACAUGCAAGUCGAACGGGAGAUAAGGAGCUUGCUCCAUAUCUCUAGUGGCGGACGGGUGAGUAACGCGUGAGCAACCUGGCCAUAAGAGGGGGGACAACAGCUGGAAACGGCUGCUAAUACCGCAUAAGACCACGCUUCCGCAUGGAAGAGAGGUCAAAGAUUUAUCGCUUAUGGAUGGGCUCGCGUCCCAUUAGAUAGUUGGUAGGGUAACGGCCUACCAAGUCGACGAUGGGUAGCCGACCUGAGAGGGUGAUCGGCCACACUGGAACUGAGACACGGUCCAGACUCCUACGGGAGGCAGCAGUGGGGAAUAUUGGGCAAAUGGGGGGAACCCUGACCCAGCAACGCCGCGUGAGGGAAGAAGGUUUUCGGAUUGUAAACCUCUGUCCUUGGGGAAGAAGGAAGUGACGGUACCCAGGGAGGAAGCUCCGGCUAACUACGUGCCAGCAGCGGC